AAAACAAUAAUAUAGAAGAGACAGUAAACACCGGGUGAAAAAUUUGGGAGAGAACACCAUGUAUACACCUCCAUUUAUCUCAAUUUUAGACUAACACAUGCGUCCCUCCUCCAUUAUUUUCAUGUUUUCUUCUCCUUUACUCCGAUUUCAGCAACUAACAAUAAAAAAACAAAACCCUUGUGCAAUUAAUAAUUCCUUUCAAUAUUUUUUCAACAAACAUCAAUAACACUAUUAACAGAGAAAAAAAGGGAAUUGGAGUUUUGUCAUCUUCUCUAUUUCAGUUUCGACACCCAACACACCAUUAUUCUCAAAGCUUUAUUUUUUUCAGUCAAUUGACUAUCACAAAUUCUAUCUUCGACAAACUCACAUUUGUCGAAUAAUACAGACCACACAACUACAACAUCGAGGAGCAACACCAUUGACACACACCCAUAUAUGAAAAAUAGACGACUACAUACAGAUAAAUCGAUAGAGAAAGACAACAAAGAAAGAAAGAAGAUGGGGAAAACACCAUAAAUGACUUCACCAUGAACCCAUAUCAUCAUUAUCAUCAUCUUCUCCUCUUAUCGAAUUAAAGAUGACCACCAGAUCCACUACCCAAACACUAACUCUUUCAAUGCACCACCUCACAACAAACUUCAAUCACCACCACAUAAUAAAAUUUGGCAAACACCACAACAAACAACUAGUUAAAUUAAACAAUAAUGCUAGAAAAGCUAAUUAGUGAUUUCCAUUUAUUUCUACCAGCAAUAACAUUCAGGUCCCAUCAUCAAUAUUGAAACACCACUGCUAACUCCAAUAUGCCAUUGGUAAACACCAUUACUGAUCGGACUCUUACCAUAGCUGACCCACUUUUAUCAUUAGCACUCUGAUUCCAUGCAUAAGACCAUAAUUUUGACCCAGCUUUGAUCAAUUUUAAAAGUGGUUUGGUUCAUAUUUAAGAGAAAAUAGAGGGUUAUCAGGCUUGGUGAAGUAGAGUUGAGGUCGAUAUUUGUUGGAUUUAAUCUUAUGUUGAGGUUUGGGGGGGGGGGAGAUCCAAUAGAGAAAUUUGACAAAUUAAAAUAAAGUUAAGGUCUAACUCUCUCUUUUCUCCUUUUAAUCUAUAUGUGAUUAUUGAUGUGAUUUAUUAUUGUUGUUUGAUUUUCUGGGUGAUUCUACUAAUGUUUAAUAUUGUUUACCUAUGAAUAAUUGAUUUUGAUGAAAUGAAAUGGGUCGUAAAGGGAUUUUGGUUUGAUUUGGUUUUGUUUACAUCACCAUUGCUAUUGUUUUAGACUUGUUAUACACUCAGUAGUAGCAUGUUUAAGCCAUCAAUUUGGGUAGGCAAAGUAUAGGUUUUGGUAGUUGUUUAUAUGUUGGAAUUAUGUGUUGGGGUGUUUUCUUUAAUUUUUGAUCAAAUGUAUUCAUUUAUCAGGAAAUGUCCUAAAGUACUGUGUAUUCAAAGACUUAUCUAUUUUACUGGGAAACAUCUUGAAGUACUUGUAUCAAAGACCGUUUAUGAUCAAGGACCAGGAUAUCGGGUGAAUCGUAAUUUGGGGCUAGGUUAGGAUAUUAUAGGUUUAUUUUUGCAUUUUUCUUUAUAUUUGGACUGUAUAAAAUGGGCUAUACUUUAUUUUUGUUUUGAAUUUCUGUGUCUUUUGGAGUUUUGAACUUUAUAAUGUCAAACAGUCAUUAUGAUUCAACAAAGAAACCGUGUUCAAACCAUAGAUUGAGGGGUACUUCCCACCUUUUCCUCGGUCAACGGAGUUCCUUAACCUAAAUUUGCAUCAAUUGAUCAAUAUUUUAAGAGUCAGUUAUUUUGAAAAGUAAUGUUUAAUGUGACUUGGCACACCAAACCAAUACCAAAUUGUGACUCUGAGUUUUGAAUGUAAUCUCUAUUCAAAAUAUUUUUUCUAUUCACUUUCAAUAAUUGAAAACCCUUAUGAACCAUAAUUAAAAUUUUUGAUUAAAAAAGGUGUGGUACAAUGUUAGAUCACUGAGUGAUCUACCAUUGACCUCCUUAUACUCCAUAUUAAUCUCCAUCGGGGUGUAUAAAACCUUGUCAUUAGUAAGAGAAACCAUUGC
rnacentral:lncRNA from 1 species